UUUUCCGCGCCGUAGCUAACGCAUUAAGUGCCCCGCCUGGGGAGUACGGCCGCAAGGCUAAAACUCAAAGAAAUUGACGGGGGCCCGCACAAGCGGCGGAGCAUGCGGAUUAAUUCGAUGCAACGCGAAGAACCUUACCAAGGCUUGACAUAUACUGGACCGCAUCAGAGAUGGUGUUUCCCUUCGGGGCUGGUAUACAGGUGGUGCAUGGUUGUCGUCAGCUCGUGUCGUGAGAUGUUGGGUUAAGUCCCGCAACGAGCGCAACCCUUGUCCCGUGUUGCCAGCACGUUGUGGUGGGGACUCGCGGGAGACUGCCGGGGUCAACUCGGAGGAAGGUGGGGAUGACGUCAAAUCAUCAUGCCCCUUAUGUCUUGGGCUUCACGCAUGCUACAAUGGCCGGUACAGAGGGUUGCGAUACUGUGAGGUGGAGCUAAUCCCUAAAAGCCGGUCUCAGUUCGGAUUGGGGUCUGCAACUCGACCCCAUGAAGUCGGAGUCGCUAGUAAUCGCAGAUCAGCAACGCUGCGGUGAAUACGUUCCCGGGCCUUGUACACACCGCCCGUCAAGUCACGAAAGUUGGUAACACCCAAAGCCGGUGGCCUAACCCUUUUGGGAGGGAGCCGUCUAAGGUGGGAUUGGCGAUUGGGACUAAGUCGUAACAAGGUAGCCGUACCGGAAGGUGCGGCUG
rnacentral:rRNA from 1 species